rnacentral:rRNA from 1 species
UCAGGAUGAACGCUGGCAGUAUGCGUAACACAUGCAAGUCGAACGAAGUUUUUCGGAACUUAGUGGCGGACGGGUGAGUAACGCGUGAGAAUCUGCCUUAAGGAUUGGGAUAACAGCUGGAAACGGCUGCUAAUACCGGAUGUGCCGCAACGUGAAAGAGGUUUCCUCGCCUAAAGAAGAGCUCGCGUCUGAUUAGCUAGUUGGUAGGGUAAAAGCCUACCAAGGCGACAAUCAGUAGCUGGUCUGAGAGGAUGAUCAGCCACACUGGGACUGAGACACGGCCCAGACUCCUACGGGAGGCAGCAGUGGGGAAUUUUCCGCAAUGGGCGCAAGCCUGACGGAGCAAGACCGCGUGAGGGAGGAAGGCUCUUGGGUCGUAAACCUCUUUUGUCAGGGAAGAAGAAAGUGACGGUACCUGACGAAUCAGCCUCGGCUAACUCCGUGCCAGCAGCCGCGGUAAUACGGAGGAGGCAAGCGUUAUCCGGAAUUAUUGGGCGUAAAGCGUCCGUAGGUGGCCCAUCAAGUCUGCGGUCAAAGACCGGGGCUUAACCCUGGAAAGGCCGUGGAAACUGACGAGCUAGAGUGCAGUAGGGGUAAAGGGAA